rnacentral:rRNA from 1 species
GACGAACGCUGGCGGCGUGCUUAACACAUGCAAGUCGAGCGGGGAUUGAUGAAGUGCUUGCACAGAUUCAAUUCUAGCGGCGGACGGGUGAGUAACGCGUGAACAAUCUGUCCCAGACAGGGGGAUAACAGAUGGAAACAUCUGCUAAUACCGCAUAAGACCACAGGAUCACAUGGUCCAGGGGUAAAAGAUUUACCGGUCUGGGGUGAGUUCGCGUCCGAUUAGCUAGUUGGUGAGGUAACGGCCCACCAAGGCGACGAUCGGUAGCCGACCUGAGAGGGUGAUCGGCCACAUUGGAACUGAGACACGGUCCAA